CCAUGCCAGAAGCAGGAAUGAUCUAUUCAAAAUCUUACAUAAUAAACAGUAUCAAAUGCAUCGUUCACAUGACAGCUAGAACUGACAGGAACAGAGUAGUUAACUGGGGUUGUGGUGAAAGAAAGAAAAAAGAGAGUAAAGGGGGAUAUCCUACAUCGACUGGAAUCAAUGGGAACAUGACCAGGACUUGGAGGGGGGCAGGGGGGGAUAUACAUCUGGCUCAUCUUCUCCUUCAAAAGGAGAGCAGUGGCUUUUGAAUAAACCAUGUUCCCUCCCACACACCCCAAUUCUCCUUUUGGAUGGCAGAUGUUGCACUGCCAUUUUUAAAAUGCCACCAGAGCUCACCCCGUGCUGGAGAUGAAUGGGUUGAGAACAACACGCAGACAUGGUCUGUUUUGACCCUGUUCUCACUUCUUUGUUCCCCAUUAAGAAUAUGGUUUCAGCACUUUGAAGUGGGUUAGCCGUUUCAGAAGCAACCUGCCCCUUAAUUAAGGUUCCAUAUCUUAAUUAAUUCAGGCUAAAAACCAUAAACCUACCUGCCACCCAGCAUUUCAGGUUGGCAGUCCCCGUGUAACAUCGUGCCAUUCGUGUACUCACCGACUGCCUUCAGCAGACACAAUGGCCUCUCCCUACUUCAGCACAGCCUAGCCUACAGGAUUACAGCAUUGUGGUCACAGGACGAAGAAGACAGACCAGUUGCUGCCUGCUGCUUUAUGAAGUGUUGCAUGACGAGCUCCAAGCGGGCCACAGACUUCUCAUCUGCUUUUUUUCCUUCCUUUUUUUCCCCUCAAGAUGCAGCCAGUUUGACAAUAGAGACACAGAACACAUUUAAUGCUCGCUAAACCAGGAGUAAAAGGACAGUUCAGAGCUCAGCAGUGUGUUAGCAGAUGUCUGUAGUCCCCCACACACUGCUCUAGCUGUUCAUCCCAACCCUGCGCUUUCACAGCCUUACUAUUGUUGUCUGGGGCCCUUUGAGAGAGCAGAAGCAGCUGAACAAUCUGUCACACGAAACAGCAGUAGCUUAGCAGUGUUCCGUAAAUGAUUACCUACCUUGUAGAGAGGUGUUACACUCAAUUGGCUAAUGGUUGUAAAUUGUUAUAUGAUUGCUGUUGUUUUGUGAGAGCUGGAGCUGUGCUGGAGACACUGGAGGUGCGGUGAAGGUGGGAGAGGCAGGAGGGAGUGGGCAGAGAAUGUAUGAGGAGAAGAUUGAAAAGGAAAAUUGUAGAAACCCAGAGUGCAACUGGGGGGGGGAGAAAAAUGGAAUAUUACUUUUCAAAGAAAUUGAAAAUCUGAGCAAAGGAGAAAAUCGUAAGGAUGACAAAGGUAGUUUCAAGACCAACAAAAACAAAAAUUCCAUCAGAAGAAGGGAGGAGAUCUAAAACUAAAAAGGCCACAACAAACAGUCACCUUUAUGUGCGUAAAUAGAAUUGCCUUUUUAUUUUUUGCUCCUAAAUUGCUUCUUUUUCGUCCUUCCUGUUACCGGGACAUAUGUUCUUAAGCACUCUCUUUGAGGUGAGAAGGAAAGGGCUGCUGGAGGCCUCCCUUGUAUUAGAGUCAUUGCGUUCCUCACGGGGAGCUCAACAGAAAAAAGCCCAAAAUCUCAGCAAGGCACCCAAUAGCCUCCCUGAUUGACAACGAGUUGUCACCUUGGUUUCAGUUGGAAAACGGAGUGAGAAAGCAACAUGCAGAACAUUAUCUGAAACUACCGACCGAGCAAAGACGCUUGAGCACAAGCGACUGGUCUCCAUUCAUCCAGCAGCGGUGGUUUUUCAAGCCUUCUACACAUACGUGCUUGGGCAGGGGGUGGGAGAUGCACACACACGUGUACAUACAGACCUGUGCAUACACACAAAUGUACCAACACCCCUCACCCUGUCCAGGAGAUAAGAGCGUAAAAAGCCAACCCUGCUGUUAUAGUAGAGCAGAUAGCCAAACAGCGUUUCUUCAGAAGUCCGCUUCCAAAAUCCUUCGUCAGCUUUUUGAGAUACCCACACAGAGGGAGCAGUUGUGGAGCCUCGUGAAUUACAGCUCUUCCCCUUUUCUAACCAGUGAGAUCAGGGUGCCAGUGAGGAUGGUGGCUGGGGCCAUCAGAGCUAAUGGUGCCAGAGCUGUGUUUUCAUUUACACAGUUCAAAAAGGAGAGCGGUUCACUACUGCUGCUUGCCUUGCAGUGCACCUUAACGCUCUGCUUUCCAGAUCUCCAGCAAAGGCAGAGUAUGCAGAGACUUACCUGCUGUUCCAACAGAGCACGGAGCUGUUUGUGCAGCCAGCCCUGCCAGCAGGCUAACACUCUACAAACUGAUCUCUUUUCCCGCCCCAAACCUGUAAGUUUAUUAGGCGUAUUUAAAGAUCCUGCUCAUUUUUUUUUUUUCAUUGGCAGAGCUUAAAGAAUAAGCUUUUUCCCCAGACUUUUAAAAAUUCCUUUCUGCUACGAUCAUAUGUUCUCUGCAGCAUUAUCAGAGAAUUUACUUUUUCCGAGGUACUUGUCUUUUCUCAUUCUUCCACCUGUGAACCUGAACUUCACAGCUAACACUACACUUGGCAAAAUGUAUAAGAACUGCAUUCAGACUUGCAACCAUUUCCUUUGGUACACUAUGAGAACACUUCCUUUUCAGCACAGCUCUACAUCAAUUAUAGGGUGGGGAUGCCCACAUCUUCUUCGUGCUUGGCCUCGCCAUUAGUGUUAAACUGAACCCACAUAUGACCAACUCAGACAGUGAAGCACUAGAAUCAGCCACGUUGUGCACGCAUCACACCAUUCCACAGCACAGAGAAUUCGAUUACUUAAUCAUAAAAUAUUUGCAUUGGUUUUACUUUGACUAUAUUGUAUUUUUAAUAGGUUUUAAUCUAAGCUUUGUCAUGAGAACACCACAGUGAAGAAACUUGGCAGCGCAGUCUACCUCCACGGUUGCCAGCAAUAACAGGGCAGCCACAACACCAGUUGCAGCAGGGCGGGCAUUCCCCUAUCUCCACCAACGAUCUCCUUGAGGGAGGCAGUGGUGAGCAAUGUUUGGGAGGUGCCCCGAGACUCCCUCCCCAGUGACGGGCUCUGGAUAACUGCACAGGAGCAGGUAGCCAGGCACAGCAGCAAGCACGCCCCCAGCCACUGGGAGAUGACCUGCUAGCUGUAGGCACUGGAUGACACGUCAGUUCUGCUCAUUGGCACGCGCCUCCUGAUCAGCAAAAGGACAGGAUGGCACAUGGGCAGUGAACUAGCACGUACACAGCUGUGGUAGCAGCCUAGCAGUUUUCCAUACAAACCAAAUGUCUUCCCAUUAAGAACAUCAGCAUCAGUGCUGGAAGUGGUCCUAAGGUAAUGGCUACUGCAAGAAAGCGAGACGAAGGGCUCAAGAGCCACAGACAGGAGACAAACAGGGCAGCUCCAGGUGGUCAGGCAGGCUCUGCCUGUGUCCUGCACUAGGCCAAUGUGGUUUCUCAGUUUAGGAGGAGCUGGGAAGAGAACUCUACGCCUGAAAAUGGCAGCACCAAGGGGACAGUACAGGCACAAGGAAGAAAGUCAGCUUGAAGAUACUUGGAUACUAAUGGAAAGGAAGCAUUAGGCAUGGGGAUUAGCCAUCAUCUGGGGAUGAAGCUGCUAAAGCAGGAGAUACAGGGCAAAGGCUGUUUCAGAGAACUGCAUAAAAGUCUUUUUCCAUUAUCUCUGGUCAGACAUGUUAAAAAGACACAGACAAAAGUCAGCACUGAUCUAUUGAAUGCAGCUGGAAAAGUAUCAAUGAAAGAGAAAUGAACCCAGAGAGCCAAACUGAGGCAAGGGUACAGGGUGCUCGUUAACAUGGCCUAGAAUCUGGUAGGGAGACACUGAGUGGUGGAAGGGGACACAAACAUCAGGCAGUUCCCGAAAUACUGGAAAAAAAAACAACCCACAAAACAAAUCAGGUGCAGAGCUCUGUGCGUUCAGGUAGCUGGAAAACAGAGUGACCACAGUCAGAAGUUACUGCAGAAGUAGGCCAUUUUCAGGUGUGCCUACAAGAUGCAUGGGAAACCCGUGGAUGCAAGCAGAAGUUGAAUUUACAGUAUUCCUGCCAGGCACCGACCUUCCUUUCAUCAGCUAUAGAUCUUAAGGCUGGCUGUCCUCCAUUCUCCGGACUCGUGUUCAGAAAGAACAGCUACGGAAUUCGUCAUGAAUAACUCUGAACAGCAACUGGUCCUGUGUCUCCUGUGGGGAUGGGUCAAACAUUUAUUGACUGGUUAACGCAAGACUGAGUGGGACCCUUACUUGUCUGUAUUCCUUCACACCACCGCCAGUACAACAAGCCACGUAUUCUCUUGGCUUGGAUCCAAACUUUCCAUCGCCUGGCCUGUGCCAUGCCCUAAAAUAAUGGAGGUCCUGUCGCUCCCGGACACCUCAAUGUACCCAUGCUGUAGCACAAGCAGAAAUUCAAAGCACCGAGUUACUUUCAAACCUUGCUUCCAGCUACAGUUGAAGAUUGGUCACUGAAGGAGGUAGACUUCAAUAGUACUCAGUCAGACUACUUUUAUAUCCCCCUGUAGAAGAUCAAGACUGUAGGAAUACAAGACAGAAACACUGCUGUGCUGUGGUACCUUGGCAUGAGAUGGUUUAAAAGCUUAGUGAGGCACCUCAAUCGAGUUACACAGUUCCAGGGAGACUGGAAGCGUAGAGAAACCAUCCGACUCUCCACAGAAAAGUUAUUACUCAAAAGGGUUUUUGCUUACCAAAUAAUCUGAUCUCUGGCUACUGCAAAAUGGUUUUCCUGCUCUCUUUGAACUGAAUUUCAAUAUGUGCUUGCAUGAAGAACAUAAUGAAGUACAUGCCUACGGCAAGUGCACUUUAAAGCACUGUCCUUUAUUCCUAGAGACAUUUCCAGGAAACGCGAAGCAGCGGAAUAAAACACCUCUGGCUUUAUCACAGACUCCUUCUGCUGCGUCACUCCUUGCUCAGGGGCUGACACUCGGACAGACACAAGCACAGCAGAUCUGCCUGGCUCUUAGCCAUGCAGGAGAGCCGUGCCUCACAGGAAGGCAGACGUGACGAGGCCUGCAACCCGAAGGCAGCGCACAGCAUUUCAGAAGAGCUGCACGGCACAACUCCAAAGGCCAGUUCCUUCACCAGCCAUGUCUUCACACAAGCAAAGAUACACACCGAAUAUAACUGCCCAAGUUAUACUGCAGUAUCUGACAGCAGGAUUUAUCUUUCUCUCCGUUCAAAACUCCCACCCUGGUGAAGUGGGACAUUUAGAAGCAGAGAUCAGGCAGUGCUCAUUCAUAGGCGGCUGGUAGCUCACUCUGAAUAGCUCACAUGCAGCCUUACAAGUAAAAUGGCAUUUCUGCCUCUUUCUGAAGCAUCAUCCAGAAAGGGCCCCUUGUGUUACACAUAGUCCAGAUGAACCCUUGGUUAGAGACAGGCAGCUUUUCAGGCCCAGUGGGACCGGGUCACCGAAGGCAGCAUGCAGCAGCUUGCUUAAGGGGCCAGGCUCAUUGGCAUCUCUUAGUUAGG
ensembl:lncRNA